rnacentral:rRNA from 1 species
AAUAGAUACCCGGGUAGUCCACGCCGUAAACGAUGAGUGCUAAGUGUUAGAGGGUUUCCGCCCUUUAGUGCUGCAGCUAACGCAUUAAGCACUCCGCCUGGGGAGUACGGUCGCAAGACUGAAACUCAAAGGAAUUGACGGGGGCCCGCACAAGCGGUGGAGCAUGUGGUUUAAUUCGAAGCAACGCGAAGAACCUUACCAGGUCUUGACAUCCCACUGACCGGUAUAGAGAUAUACCCUUCCCUUCGGGGACAGUGGUGACAGGUGGUGCAUGGUUGUCGUCAGCUCGUGUCGUGAGAUGUUGGGUUAAGUCCCGCAACGAGCGCAACCCUUGAUCUUAGUUGCCAGCAUUUAGUUGGGCACUCUAAGGUGACUGCCGGUGACAAACCGGAGGAAGGUGGGGAUGACGUCAAAUCAUCAUGCCCCUUAUGACCUGGGCUACACACGUGCUACAAUGGAUGGUACAAAGGGCUGCAAGACUGCGAAGUCAAGCCAAUCCCAUAAAACCAUUCUCAGUUCGGAUUGCAGGCUACG